rnacentral:lncRNA from 1 species
UUUGAAGGGUGUCCUCCUUUUCUGUAUUAAAUUAAAUUUUGUGUGUAGAAAUAUCAAUUAAUUUUAUUUGAUCACUAACAAUUACACCCUAAAUCUAUCAAUUUUCUAACCACUUAAUCCAGAGUUAAGGGGGUUGCUGGAGUCUAUCCCGGAAAGCAACAGCCCCAAGCUGGGAUACACCCUGGAUGGGAUGCCAGACAGUUGCAGGGCAUACAGUACACAGACACAAGUGUCCAACAAGAUCCAAAUAAACAUGUAGGUGAAAACUGUAAAAAUGUGAUCAGAAUUCACUUGCAGUUUAGCCAAACCCUUAACAUUUAGAAGCUGAUGGAAUGGGUUGUAAUGACAUUUGAUUUGAAUUAAGUAUUUUUUUGCAUUCUUGCUGAUGCUUUAGAGAAUAUGAGUUAGGGAACAUUCAUCUUCUUUCAUUUAAUUUCAGGAAAAGCUAAAAGUGGCACUGGAUUCCUUGAAAAACAAGUUAAAACACUUGUAUGAUGUUAAACAGGAAUGUGAUUACACAGCUCUGUACAUGAAGGCCCAGGCAUACCAGACAGUGAGGCAGAUAAAGGAGGAGUUUGACAAACUACACAAGUUUCUUGAAGAUGAAGAGGCAGCAAGGAUAGUUGCAUUGAGAGAUGAAGAGUGGAAAAGUCAGAUGAUGAGAAAAAAUAUUCAAAACAUUACGAGAGAAAUCCUGUCCCUUUCACACACAAUUAUUGCUAUAAGUGAUGAUAUUGGAGCUAACGAUGAAUCAUUUCUGCAGGUGAGUAUUCUUCUUAUUUCAAAGCAUAUUGUUCUAUUGGCAAAUGGACUGCAGUCUU